rnacentral:lncRNA from 1 species
UGUGGCAAUAAUUCUUUGAGAAAGAAAAAAAAGGUGCAAAAAGAGUCAUGCUUGGGCUAAUGAGUCCAAACUGAUAAACGAGCCUAAGGUUAAUCUGGUCUGACAGAGUCUCUUGAUCCGAACAGGCUAAGAGAAAUCAGUAAAAAGUUACAGAACAAGGUACUUAUAUGAUAACACCUUGUGAUUUCUCUAUCUGUGA